rnacentral:rRNA from 1 species
UGGGGAAUAUUGGACAAUGGGGGCAACCCUGAUCCAGCCAUGCCGCGUGAGUGAUGAAGGCCUUCGGGUUGUAAAGCUCUUUUGGCGGGGACGAUGAUGACGGUACCCGCAGAAUAAGCCCCGGCUAACUUCGUGCCAGCAGCCGCGGUAAGACGAAGGGGGCAAGCGUUGUUCGGAAUUACUGGGCGUAAAGCGAGUGUAGGUGGUUGUCAUAGUCAGGUGUGAAAGCCUUGAGCUCAACUCAAGAAAUGCACUUGAUACUGGGCGACUAGAGGACCGGAGAGGAUAGUGGAAAUCCCAGUGUAGUGGUGAAAUACGUAGAGAUUGGGAAGAACACCAGUGGCGAAGGCGGCUAUCUGGACGGUUUCUGACACUAAGACUCGAAAGCGUGGGGAGCAAACA